rnacentral:snRNA from 1 species
AUACUUACCUGGCAGGGGAGAAACCUUGGUCAUGAAGGAGGUUCUCCCAGGGUGGGGCUCGGCCGUUGCACUCUGGCUGUGCUGACCCCUGUGAUUUCCCCAAAUGUGGGAAACUCGACUGCAUNAUUUGUGGUAGUGGGAAUUCAAUUUUAA